GGUUGUAGUUCAGUGGUAGAGCACUCAUCUAGCAUCUGUGAGGUCUUGGGUUCAAUCCUCAGCACCA
rnacentral:tRNA from 1 species